UCCUUGGAGGACUAGUGGUUAGGCCACAACACUCUCACCACUGUGGCUUGGGUUCGAUUCCCGGCCAGGGAA